UUUUACUGAACCGAAAAAAUAGCUUUCCAUGGACUAUGCAUGCUAGAGAAGUUGGGGGACUCAAGCACAUGCAGCAUUUUCACUUGCCGAGAUUACUGUCCUUUGGAGUUUAAGGUAAACAAUGUCAUUCAAGAAAUCCCCUUGUAUUUCUCCCAAACAAAAUAAAUCCUGGGUAUUCAUAUUGAGGGUGUGACAAAAAAGAGUGUUGGGUCUGUAAGAGCACCGUGCAACCACCCCAGACAACAUGUGUCUGAGAACGAUCAUCUACAGCACAAGAUGAUGUCUCAACAUGAGAAUCAUCUAAGCCGUUAAUCACGCUCUGAUCGCACGGUCUUCAUUCAUCAUCCAGACGUAUGUUCCUGUCUCCUUAGAAAUCAAGGACACAGUAGUACGAUCCUAUAGAACAGAUCCUGUUCAAGUAAGGUCGUGACAAUUGUUCCACGUGUGUGUUAUAUAAACACUUGAGCUGUGCUAAUUUUAAAUGAUGUGGGACUUAUUUCAUGUUUGUUUGUUUACACUGCUUUUCUGAAUGCCUUUUCUCAAGUUUUUCAAACCUUCUUAGAGCUAAAAAAAUGAUGAAACGAUUGUUAGCAUCGCCACUUAUUGUACAAUCCAAUACAUAAUUCAAUCUCAAGAGCAUAGCUGUGAGUAUCGAUGGAAAAAUUUGACAAUUUUUAAAUUUUAAACCAAGGUCUUAAACCGUAGACGCAGUUACACCGUGAUCCUUGAAGAUGCGUAAAUUUAUGGUCAGUCUCCCAGUCUUGCAACCACUGCAAAGAACAUAGCAGUCCCAUACCCUCUCCCUUGUGGACUUCCAACAAACUCAAUGCCCGUGAUGUCCGGGCCACACUAAAACUUCCGUUAAGAGUUGCGAAUCACUGAAGCACAGCCAACUGGGAAAAGGCGCCGUCUAUAUUGCAUUUUAAGUAACCCGGAUCUGGUCUAUGCCACUGGGACUCUACUGUAUUGUUCAUGCCGUCGGCUUAAUGCUGAUGUGCAUUCCUCAAGUUUGCUCAGCUCCAAUCUUGCAAUACUGCUGUUGCUCGAUAGAUAGAUAGAUGAUAUGCGAAGCAUUCUCUUGAGUAUUAUUUCUUUUAGAGAUUAAGAGUUCCAAUAGGUUUAGAAACACAAUGCUCAAAUCUUCAUCAGCUGCAAGCACAGGUUCAAAAAUCUGCCAGUACUUAAUUUUCUCCCAAACAGAUUUUGUAACGUCAAAUUUGAACAUAAGGGGACUAUAGUUGUUACAACGAGCACACAAGGGUGGACAAAGGACACCUUAUUGGGUAAUUGGUGUUUCGUUAGAAGCACAUCAUGGCCUAGCUGUAACGAAUAUCGAGGCCUAACUCAUCCCUACAAAACCGGCUUGUACGGUGAGGAGUGCCUCAUCUUUGUAAACUCUUCUCAAGAAUCCUGUCUAUCCGAUGUGGGACUAAAUCCCACCCGAGUGCUGGCUGCUAACAUUAGCCUCCAAAGGAAGAUUUUGAUUUUAGGAGGUAACUUAAGAUUCCGCCGGAAAUUCCAGUCCCCCAGCAUUGUUAAAGCUGUCGAGACAGUGAAGUGCUCCAUGUAGAGAUUAUAUGCUGUUUUUACUGUGUAGAUUCCAAAUGCGUUGAUCAGUGGCUGUGUAUUGGAGAGAGGGAUUCUUGAGAUGCUUGUAAUACCAUGAUCAUUGAAUAUUGCUGACUGCAUGUUCAGGUUCCAACUUCUAGUGUUUUCAUCAAUGAGGUCGUUUACUGUUAAGGCUGCAAACCUGUCCUGCAUUGGUGUGUACUAGGUCUAUGAUUUGCUUGGUUGCGAAUCCAAGGCUCUUACCAUACAUUGAUAUGUGAUCCAUUUCCAAUUCUCCACCAAUAACCUUGCCUUAGGAGAUCAUCUUAAACAUACUAAAGCAUGAAUGUAAAAUCAUAAACUAUCAAUGAAGUUUAAAAUACCUACAAAUUUGUAUAUAUGUAUCACAAGCUUUAUUGUAAAAUCCUUUGUUUACAAAUCUUGAAACUAAUUUCCCAGUUUAUUAUUCUUUAUCAACUUCGUUUUUUUCCUUGUGUUUCUAUUUUCUCUAUACUUGCUAAUACCAUUGACAUUUUCCAAUAGAGUUUUCCAUUAUGACUAUCAGGGAAGACAGGUUAAUACUUAGAGCACAACUCGUCUUGAAUAGAAAUGUCACAAUGCAUAUAUGAAUUGCCUUUAAACUCAACCUUUAUUUCAGGUAGCAGGAGGAUGGAUACAAGCAUCUCAUGUAGCUUCCCUUUCUCGGCCAGAGAGAUCAAUUCUGUUAUUUAAAGCAUUUUUGGAAGAAGAGACAUUGAAAAUUAGAUAUUAUUUUAAAACGUUAUUGUAUUAGUAUGAUAACUAGAAACACUCCUUAUAAAGUAGCUAAUUAUUGAUAUUUGAUAAUCUUUUGAUAGUCACUCUAUGUUGUUUUAAAUUAAGUAUGAAGUCCAUGUUGC
rnacentral:lncRNA from 1 species